GACGAACGCUGGCGGCGUGCUUAACACAUGCAAGUCGAACGGAAAGGCCCUGCUUUUGUGGGGUGCUCGAGUGGCGAACGGGUGAGUAACACGUGAGUAACCUGCCCUUGACUUUGGGAUAACUUCAGGAAACUGGGGCUAAUACCGGAUAGGAGCUCCUGCUGCAUGGUGGGGGUUGGAAAGUUUCGGCGGUUGGGGAUGGACUCGCGGCUUAUCAGCUUGUUGGUGGGGUAGGGGCUUACCAAGGCUUUGACGGGUAGCCGGCCUGAGAGGGUGACCGGCCACAUUGGUACUGAGAUACGGCCCAGACUCCUACGGGAGGCAGCAGUGGGGAAUAUUGCACAAUGGGCGGAAGCCUGAUGCAGCAACGCCGCGUGCGGGAUGACGGCCUUCGGGUUGUAAACCGCUUUCGCCUGUGACGAAGCGUGAGUGACGGUAAUGGGUAAAGAAGCACCGGCUAACUACGUG
rnacentral:rRNA from 1 species